AGUGAACGCUGGCGGUAGGCCUAACACAUGCAAGUCGAACGGCAGCACAGUAAGAGCUUGCUCUUACGGGUGGCGAGUGGCGGACGGGUGAGGAAUACAUCGGAAUCUACUUUUUCGUGGGGGAUAACGUAGGGAAACUUACGCUAAUACCGCAUACGACCUACGGGAGAAAGCAGGGGAUCUUCGGACCUUGCGCGAUUGAAUGAGCCGAUGUCGGAUUAGCUAGUUGGCGGGGUAAAGGCCCACCAAGGCGACGAUCCGUAGCUGGUCUGAGAGGAUGAUCAGCCACACUGGAGCUGAGACACGGUCCAGACUCCUACGGGAGGCAGCAGUGGGGAAUAUUGGACAAAGGGCGCAAGCCUGAUCCAGCCAUACCGCGUGGGUGAAGAAGGCCUUCGGGUUGUAAAGCCCUUUUGUUGGGAAAGAAAAGCAGCAGGUUAAUACCCCGCUGUUCUGACGGUACCCAAAGAAUAAGCACCGGCUAACUUCGUG
rnacentral:rRNA from 1 species